AUUGAACGCUGGCGGCAUGGCUUACACAUGCAAGUCGAACGGUAGAGGGGGCAACCCCUCGAGAGUGGCGAACGGGUGAGUAAUGCAUCGGAACGUGCCCAGUAGUGGGGGAUAGCCCGGCGAAAGCCGGAUUAAUACCGCAUGAGACCUACGGGUGAAAGGGGGGGAUCGCAAGACCUCUCGCUAUUGGAGCGGCCGAUGUCAGAUUAGGUAGUUGGUGGGGUAAAGGCCUACCAAGCCGACGAUCUGUAGCUGGUCUGGGAGGACGACCAGCCACACUGGGACUGAGACACGGCCCAGACUCCUACGGGAGGCAGCAGUGGGGAAUUUUGGACAAUGGGCGAAAGCCUGAUCCAGCCAUGCCGCGUGCGGGAAGAAGGCCUUCGGGUUGUAAACCGCUUUUGUCAGGGAAGAAAUCCUUUGAGCUAAUACCUCGGGGGGAUGACGGUACCUGAAGAAUAAGCACCGGCUAACUACGUGCCAGCAGCCGCAGUAA
rnacentral:rRNA from 1 species